rnacentral:rRNA from 1 species
AUGGGCCAAAGGCAACUCUUCUCUCUGGGACGUGCACUUUUGAGAAGAUGUCGUAUCUUAGUUCUUGAUGAGGCCACAGCCUCUAUAGACAAUGCCACAGAUGUUGUCCUUCAGAAAACGAUCUGGACGGAAUUCAAACAUUGCACUGUUAUUACAAUUGCACACCGUAUACCAACUGUUAUGGACUGUGAUAUGGUACUUGCAAUUGGUGACGGGAGAGUAGUGGAGUAUGACAGACAUACAAAGCUCAUGGAAACUGAAGGAUCUCUCUUUCGCGAGCUGGUCACACUAGUAGAAAAGGGGGCAAAGGUCCAGGCCGGGUCAACCCAUUAG